rnacentral:rRNA from 11 species
CCCGGGAAGAGUUCUCUUUUCUUCUUAACAGCCUAUCACCCUGAAAUCGGUUUGUCCGGAGCUAGGGUUUAAUGGCAGGUAGAGCAGCACACCUUUGUGCUGUCCGGUGCGCUCUCGACGACCCUUGAAAAUCCGCCGGAAGGAAUGAUUUUCACGCGAGGUCGUACUCAUAACCGCAGCAGGUCUCCAAGGUGAACAGCCUCUAGUUGAUAGAACAAUGUAGGUAAGGGAAGUCGGC